rnacentral:rRNA from 1 species
CCCUUAGAUGUUCUGGGCUGCACGCGCGCUACACUGACGCACGCAACAGGUGCCUGCUCCGAGAGGACUGGGUAAUCAUUUGAGUGUGCGUCGUGAUGGGGAUAGAAUAUUGUAAUUAUUACUCUUCAACGAGGAAUUCCUAGUAAGCGCGAGUCAUAAGCUCGCGUUGAUUACGUCCCUGCCCUUUGUACACACCGCCCGUCGCUACUACCGAUUGAACGGUUUAGUGAGGGCCUCGGAUUGGUCUCGGCCCGCUCUUUACCGGGCGGCGCCGUUGGUCGAGAAGACGCUCGAACUUGAUCGUUUAGAGGAAGUAAAAGUCGUAACA